rnacentral:rRNA from 1 species
AACGAACGCUGGCGGCAGGCCUAACACAUGCAAGUCGAGCGAGGACUUCGGUUCUAGCGGCGGACGGGUGCGUAACGCGUGGGAAUGUGCCCUUCUCUACGGAAUAGCCCUGGGAAACUGGGAGUAAUACCGUAUACGCCCUUUUGGGGAAAGAUUUAUCGGAGAAGGAUCAGCCCGCGUUGGAUUAGGUAGUUGGUGGGGUAAUGGCCUACCAAGCCGACGAUCCAUAGCUGGUUUGAGAGGAUGAUCAGCCACACUGGGACUGAGACACGGCCCAGACUCCUACGGGAGGCAGCAGUGGGGAAUCUGAGACAAUGGGGGCAACCCUGAUCUAGCCAUGCCGCGUGAGUGAUGAAGGCCUUAGGGUUGUAAAGCUCUUUCAGCUGGGAAGAUAAUGACGGUACCAGCAGAAGAAGCCCGGGCUAACUCCGUG